rnacentral:rRNA from 1 species
CAGCAGCCGCGGGAAUACGUAGGGUGCAAGCGUUAAUCGGAAUUACUGGGCGUAAAGCGUGCGCAGGCGGUUUUGUAAGACAGAGGUGAAAUCCCCGGGCUCAACCUGGGAACUGCCUUUGUGACUGCAAGGCUAGAGUACGGCAGAGGGGGAUGGAAUUCCGCGUGUAGCAGUGAAAUGCGUAGAUAUGCGGAGGAACACCGAUGGCGAAGGCAAUCCCCUGGGCCUGUACUGACGCUCAUGCACGAAAGCGUGGGGAGCAAACAGGAUUAGAUACCCCAGUAGUCCCUGUCUCUUAUAA